UACGAAGGGUGCAAGCGUUACUCGGAAUUACUGGGCGUAAAGCGUGCGUAGGUGGUUUGUUAAGUCUGUUGUGAAAGCCCCGGGCUCAACCUGGGAAUGGCAAUGGAUACUGGCAGGCUAGAGUGCGGUAGAGGGUAGUGGAAUUCCCGGUGUAGCGGUGAAAUGCGUAGAGAUCGGGAGGAACACCAGUGGCGAAGGCGGCCUUCUGGCUCAUAACUGACGCUGUAGCGCGAAAGCGUGGGGAGCGAACGGG
rnacentral:rRNA from 1 species